rfam:Naematelia encephala strain 68-887.2 BCR39scaffold_90, whole genome shotgun sequence.
UCUCUGAUAGCUCAGUGGUCAGAGCUCCGUGCUUAUGUGGUUAACUUUAACAAUUUUCACGGCGGUCGAGAGUUCAAACCUCUUUCAGAGAA